UGGGGAAUAUUGCACAAUGGGCGCAAGCCUGAUGCAGCCAUGCCGCGUGUAUGAAGAAGGCCUUCGGGUUGUAAAGUACUUUCAGCGGGGAGGAAGGGAGUAAAGUUAAUACCUUUGCUCAUUGACGUUACCCGCAGAAGAAGCACCGGCUAACUCCGUGCCAGCAGCCGCGGUAAUACGGAGGGUGCAAGCGUUAAUCGGAAUUACUGGGCGUAAAGCGCACGCAGGCGGUUUGUUAAGUCAGAUGUGAAAUCCCCGGGCUCAACCUGGGAACUGCAUCUGAUACUGGCAAGCUUGAGUAUCGUAGAGGGGGGUAGAAUUCCAGGUGUAGCGGUGAAAUGCGUAGAGAUCUGGAGGAAUACCGGUGGCGAAGGCGGCCCCCUGGACGAAGACUGACGAUGAGGUGCGAAAGCGUGGGGAGCAAACAGG
rnacentral:rRNA from 1 species